rnacentral:lncRNA from 1 species
GCCCAGCCUCAUUACAUCAUUUUAGAUAGGGGAUGGGGAGGGGAUGGGGAGUGGAGAAGGGACUCAUGAUUCAUGUGCAGAUGUGUAUAUUCUCCUCUCUCCAUCUUCCUUUUGCUCUCCUGAGGUCCUUGGUGCCUUUACACAAUCUUCAUUGAUCUGGUGGCCCUUUAAUCUGUACACGACUUCUGUUUUCUUUAUUGCAGGUCCACUCGUUCCCCUUCCUACCUGCCCUCACAUGGUUUCUGGAUUCUCUUCCACAUAUUUUCAGAAUUCCAGGAUCAACACCUCCCUCCCUGUUCCUGUUCCCCCCAGAACAUUUUUGAGGCAGCAUUUCUACAGUGGGGAUGGCAUUCCCCAGAUGAUCCACUCAAGCUGCUCCACAGGUGUCCUUUGCUCCUUUCUUCUUGCCUCUUCCUACUAAUUGGCACUCCGAGGCCUGGAUGAAGACCUACAAUGAAGCCCACUUAUUUUAUAGAACUCACAUUUAGGCAGCAGGUAUAUGAAGCCCUGAAACUCCUUGGGAUCCCUAUGUUCAAAUGCCAAAGCAACUGUGACCAACUUUUGCCAUAUGGCAAAAAAAGACACUCUCUUGGCCUCCUUUUUCCACCAGCAAUGGAAAAGAAAAGAAAUAACAAUAAUAAAGAAAGAAGAGGUUGGUGUUUUCAUAA